GCUUGCCGGAGAAUUUUUUUUGCGGCUAAUAAUAUAUCUACAUGUACGGACACUAGCAGACUAUAUUAUGGGCUGUUUUUUCCUGUACUGAUAUGCUUUAAGAGCGUAUUUGAGAACUGAUGUAAUGUUUCCAAGAAGGGAAAAGAUUUGAAUGCACUUGUAUCGUAUUGGACACAGUAGCAAAGCCGAGGUGUACUGGCUGUUUCCCUUUAGCCAUAUAACAUUCGCACCACUGUUAUCACCGUAUUACAGGUUUUACGAAAUAACAGCUCAAGACUCGCGUAAUGCACGUGAACAUCGGCCCAACGGCCGACGAACGAUUCAAGGAGAACUAGUAUUUCAUUGAUAACUCACCCCGUGUCCCGACCUUUACGAUCACCACACUGUACGUACACUGUUGCACGCGCAUACCCGCCAGGCAACGUCCAAUGAUUUGUGUAUCGACAGUCGUCAGUAUUAAUGCCAUUUGUGUGCAAUUAUGUUAGUUAUUAUGUCAGACAACCUACCUUUCGCGGCUAGUUUCAACACGUUUUUAACAUUAUGGCAUUGCGACUUGAAAACGACACCAGAUACCCGAUAAAAUAGCUCGCGGCCAACAACACGAUUGCGUUGGUGGGUAGAUCAAAUUAUAAAUUAGAACGCGCGGAAUCUAUUAAGGAAGCGUUCGAUGAGCAUUUCGAAGCAAUUUAUAUUCAGAAAAGUUACGAAGCGAUAGAUAGAAUCUCUUUCAUGCUGCAAUUCCUUCUACGUGUAUUAAUUAAUGAAAUUAUGGGUUCCAGAUCGGAAUUAGAAGUUUGAUUUCCUUUUUCUAAAUCGCAACCAUUACUUCCACGUCUUAAAACAAGAAGACACGAUGUUUCCUUUUCCAUUUUGAGAAUUGAUCUUCAUAAAUUAGAGACAAAG
rnacentral:misc_RNA from 1 species